AUUGAACGCUGGCGGCAUGCUUUACACAUGCAAGUCGAACGGUAACAGGGAGCUUGCUCCGCUGACGAGUGGCGAACGGGUGAGUAAUGCGUCGGAACGUGCCGAGUAGUGGGGGAUAACGCAUCGCAAGGUGUGCUAAUACCGCAUACGAACUGAGGUUGAAAGUGGGGGACCUUCGGGCCUCACGCUAUUCGAGCGGCCGACGUCUGAUUAGCUAGUUGGUGAGGUAAAGGCUCACCAAGGCGACGAUCAGUAGCGGGUCUGAGAGGAUGAUCCGCCACACUGGGACUGGAACACGGCCCAGACUCCUACGGGAGGGAGCAGUGGGGAAUUUUGGACAAUGGGCGCAAGCCUUAUCCAGCCAUGCCGCGUGUCUGAAGGAGGCCUUCGGGUUGUAAAGGACUUUUGUCCGGGAGCAAAUGCUGGUGGCUAACAUCCACCGGAGCUGAGAGUACCGGAAGAAUAAGCACCGGCUAACUACGUGCCAGCCGCCGCGGUAAUAC
rnacentral:rRNA from 1 species